rnacentral:rRNA from 1 species
CCUACGGGCGGCAGCAGUGAGGAAUAUUGGUCAAUGGGCGGGAGCCUGAACCAGCCAAGCCGCGUGAAGGAAGAAGGCGCCAGGCGUCGUAAACUUCUUUUGUCGGGGAACAAAGGGCGCCACGCGUGGCGUUGUGAGUGUACCCGAAGAAAAAGCAUCGGCUAACUCCGUGCCAGCAGCCGCGGUAAUACGUAGGGGGCGAGCGUUAUCCGGAUUCACUGGGUGUAAAGGGAGCGUAGACGGCCAUGCAAGCCAGGGGUGAAAGCCCGGGGCCCAACCCCGGGACUGCCCUUGGAACUGCAUGGCUGGAGUGCGGGAGGGGCAGGCGGAAUUCCUGGUGUAGCGGUGAAAUGCGUAGAUAUCAGGAGGAACACCGGCGGCGAAGGCGGCCUGCUGGACCGCGACUGACGUUGAGGCUCGAAAGCGUGGGGAGCGAACAGGAUUAGAUACCCCAGUAGUC